GAUGAACGCUGGCGGCGUGCCUAAUACAUGCAAGUCGAGCGAACGGACGAGAAGCUUGCUUUUCUGAUGUUAGCGGCGGACGGGUGAGUAACACGUGGAUAACCUACCUAUAAGACUGGGAUAACUUCGGGAAACCGGAGAUAAUACCGGAUAAUAUUUUGAACCGCAUGGUUCAAAAGUGAAAGACGGUCUUGCUGUCACUUAUAGAUGGAUCCGCGCUGCAUUAGCUAGUUGGUAAGGUAACGGCUUACCAAGGCAACGAUGCAUAGCCGACCUGAGAGGGUGAUCGGCCACACUGGAACUGAGACACGGUCCAGACUCCUACGGGAGGCAGCAGUAGGGAAUCUUCCGCAAUGGGCGAAAGCCUGACGGAGCAACGCCGCGUGAGUGAUGAAGGUCUUCGGAUCGUAAAACUCUGUUAUUAGGGAAGAACAUAUGUGUAAGUAACUGUGCACAUCUUGACGGUACCUAAUCAGAAAGCCACGGCUAACUACGUG
rnacentral:rRNA from 1 species